AUAUUUUCAUAAGCUGUGAGGCUAGGAGCCCAAGAACUGGGUGUUUCCAUUAACCAAGCAACUUAAGAUAAGGUGCAGACUGCCCUGUCUGAGACAAAUCGGGGAACUUGGCCUCUGAGAAGGAGAAGAAGACAUUCAGGGAGGCCAGUGAGGAAGAUUGGCCCUGACCUAACGUCUGUGCCAAUUUGUGCCAUUUUGUAUUUGGGAUGCUGCCACAACAUGGCUUGACAAGUGGUGCAUAGGUCUGCGCCCAGGAUUCAAACCCCCAAACCCCAGGUCGCUGAAGUGGAACAUGCAAACUUAACCUCUAUGCCACUUGGCUGGUCCCAGUUUUAUUUUUUAUCCACUUGAUCUGUACAUUACAGAAAAAUAUAUUAAAAUCUCCUAGUAUGAUGAUGGGUCCCAGAGUCUGGCUCCUAUUCCCAGUACACAAGACCUAUCAAAACCUGGCUCUAGGCCCCCGGGGACUGGCAGACAUCUUCAGGGCACAGUGCCAAAUGUGUUCAUGAAGACAGUAACAUUCCUCUCAUCAUUUUCUCCAGAACUUUGGUGCUUUGAGUCAAAGGUUGACAUAAAGCUUUCAAAACAAAUGUGACUUCCCUGAAGUGACCAGUGACCGCAGUCGUGGCAGGAUUAUGCAGAACUGGAGUGGGCUGAAUGAUUGGAAAGACAGCCUGUCUGCUGGUUACCUAAAAUAACAUCGUUGGUGGAUAUCAGCAAAUCACACAUGGUCGAGAUGGGGAGACUGACAGUCAGCCCCUGGCAAGGUUUCCCUGUGACUUGGGGUUUGAGAGUCUCUGGAGGCUGUGGGAAGACAGAAGCAGAUACUGACUCAGUUCCUGCCCAGAACAAUAGUUGAGCGUAUGUGUGUGCAUAGGUGUCUGUGUGUAUUUGGUGUCCAGAUAUGCACUGUAUGUGUAUAUGUACAUUUAUGUGUGGUCUGUGUGUGUGUGCUGGGAGUAGUAUAAGUGUGGAGGGUGGUGUGUAUAUUUCUGCCCUGUGUGCCACGACUGUGGUGUGUAGGUGUGGUUGUGUGUGUAUUUGCCUCUGUGUGUGUGUGUGUUAUGAAGGUGCUGAGGCAAACAUUCUGCAUGAGACUGAGAAGAUGGUGACCAGGAGAGAAAAGAAUGGAGGCGACUCUCUCUUAGCCAAGCCCUUGAAGUGCAUUGGACAUGUUCAUCCCAGGGGGCCGAGUGAACAGGAGACUGACUGGGCCACCGAGCAACUGAUAGCACCUAGCGAUGGUCCCACUUGGUUGGGAAGGCUCCUCGCCUCUGCAGGGUAGGAAGAGAAGUAUAUUCCAAAGAAAAUUUGACAGAAAGGAGAGAAAGGGCUCUCCGGCUUCCUUUGCAGUUUAUGCACAGCUUUUAGUUUGUACAAUUUUUUUUCAGUAUAGCUCUGUGCCAAAAGAGCUGGCUCAGUUGAGCAUGUGGAGGAAAAUUCAUGGCCUGAGUCAGUCCCAGGCCACAUCAAACAAAGCAAGGCAUUUUUGUCCUUCCUGGCAGGGACAGCAGCAGGGAGAUUAUAAAGGAUUUUGGUCAAGGGAGUGUCGUAAUGAACAUCCUGUUCUAGGAGCCCCGAGGCUCUGGAUGGAUUGGAGGAGAGACAAUGAACGCCUUGCCCUAAGUCACAGCCCUGUUGCUCUCUGGUUGAGUGUCGGCAGAGCCCCAGAUGGAUUUACUGGUCAGUGCAGGUCAUUGGAAGGGUGGUCUCACUGCAGACUUCCUGGCUUCCUGUGCAGAGCUCUUUCCACCACCCCAGCUAACAGGAUCUGUGGUCUCCUCUAUCUCUGUGGUGCCUUCAGAAUCUCGUGUUUCACCUGGGCCUGGAGAAGUGCUCUGUCUGACCAAUAUGUCACAGGCUCUUCAGACACCAGGUCUGAGGGUUUGGACAAGCCCUGCUCCUUGCAAGGGAGCUUGAUGGGACUUGACAUAAAAGCUGCUCACAACGACAUUUUGAGUUUACUGAGCAGAAACUGAGAUCCACUUGCAAAAUUACUUUAAGGGCUGAAUUGGAUGGGCCUCAUACUCCACUUUCAGAAAAUCCUUUCAUAAAUGAUUAACUAAUGACACAAAAUGAAAAUGUUGCCAGUUGGCUGUUGACCACAUGGUGCAAAUUGCCUCUCCAGCUUGCAGGUCACCAGUGUCUCCAUUAACAUUUGGGACAUGGAUAUCCUAAGUUUGACCUUGGAACAUUUGAGGAAAUAGCCUGAUUUUUAAACGAUAUUUUUUAUUGAGGUAUAAUCUAUAUAGAGAGAAAUGCUCAGCUCUAACCUACAGAGUUUGAUGAAUUUUGACAAAUUUACACGAGUGUAACCACCAUCCCAAUCAAGACAAAACAUUUCCAUCACCUAAAAAGUUCCCUUUUGCCCUUUUUCAGUCAAUCCCAACUGUUCUGACUUCGAUCAUCAUAGAUUGUUUUUGACUUUUCUAGAGUGUCUGUUAUGGACUGAAUGUUUGUAUCCCUUCGAAAUUCAUAUAUUGAAACCUUAACCCUCCAGUGUAAUGGUGUUAGGAGGUAGGGCCUUUGGGAGGUGAUUAGGCCAUGAGGGUGGAGCCCUCAUGAAUGGGGUUAGUGUUCUUGUAAGAGGGAUCCCAGAGAGAGCCCUUACCCCUUCUGCCAAGUGAGGCCACAGUGAGAAGAUGGCCAUUUAUGAACCAGGAAGCGGGACCUCAACAGACACUGAAUCUGCUGUCUCCUUGAUCUUGGACUUCCCAGCCUCCAGAAAUAUAAGAACAAAAUUCCUGUUGUUUAUAAAUCCUCCAGUCUAUGGUAUUCUGUUAGAGUAGCCCAAACUAGGACCGUGUCAUAUAAAUGGAGUCAUACAGGAUAUAGCCUUUUGUGUCUGGUUUCCUUCACUGAGCAUAAUAUUUGUGAGAUUCAUCCAUGUUGUUGUGUAUAUGGGUGGUCCCUUCCUUUCUAUUGCUGAAGAGUUUUCCAUUGUAUGUAUAUUCCACAGUUUGUUUAUCCAUUCAUCUGUUGAGGGACAUUUGGGCUUUUCCAGUUUGUAGCAGUUAAGGAUAAAGCUGCUUUGAACGUUUAUGUACCAGUCUUUGUGUGAGGUAGGUAGAAACUACAUAUGUCUAGGGUAAAAACACCUAGGAGUAGAAUUCCUGGGUCGUAAGAUAGGUGUAUGUCUAACUUUAUAAGAAACUUGUGGCUUGUUUUUUGUGUCACCUUCCUGAAAGGAUGUUCAGAAGUCAGCGUGCAAAACCCACACCAAAACAACCUCCACAGGGAGAAGGUGGUAACAGAGGGUUGACAGCUUUUAUUGCAAAAAACUGUUUUAACCAAUUCCUGAAUUAACCAACUCCUGAGUCGUUUUUAUAAUUGGUGCUAACUUUGGUCUGUACCCAAGAAAAUGCUCAUUCACAUUAGUAACGGAAGCAGACUAAGCGGGGCAACAAUACUGAAAAGCGCAGAAGGUUAUUUACGCCAAAAGGUUGACCACACCUUUCGGAAUUUUGCCUUAAGCUCAAGCAAUUACAGUUUAGCAGGGUGUUUAUUGAGAAAGUAAACUGUGGAAAGGUCACCCUUGGAAAAGCUAAUCUGAGUCCCGAAUUUUCACUGCUGUAGACUCUGUGUUAUCUGGGAAAGAUAAACAGGCUAUUCUGUGACUCUAGGGCCUGGCUGUCUGGGCCUUCACCCUCUGUUAGAUGUAUCAUCAAGCCGUAUUGCACAAGAAAGCAGCAUGAGAAAGCUUUUGUGUGUGGCAGACUAAACAGGGGCAAGGGGUCUGACCCUGGCUGGACCUGUGGGGAACUGGAGCAAAGGGGUCUGACCACAGUUAUGUGGAGGACCCCAGAACCCCUUGGAAGUGCUGCUUCCCUUGGCAAGACCUCAGAGGAAACGGCUACCGGGUGGCUGGUGAGGCCAGGAACUAGGAAUUAUGGCCUAGAAAGCUCAUGCGAGAGGCUGGACUGGCACAGCCUCCCCACCUGGAAAGUGGGGCCAUCAGAAGUGGAAGCUAGAGCGGGGGCCUGCCGCCGUGGAACAGGAGCAUCGGCAGGCUGCUGGCACGUCUCGGGGGACCAAAACCACUGACGCUGCAUUUCCUGGCAGUGUUAGUUGUCCUCUCUCGUAGGAUGAAUCGUUGUCACCAUUCCUCAGACUCUUCCUGUCUUAGAAUUUUACACUCACACCCUUUGCCAUGUGACUCUGCAGCCUCCCCAUUAGCGUGAGUGGAGGAGACCUCCUGCCACUGGUGCUGGCAUGGCCAUGUGGCUUGUUUAGUCAGUGGGGUGUGGGCAGGAGUGAAUCAAGAGGCCUCAGGAGGCAUCGUGUGUCUCUGCCUAACUUUCUGUGGUUUGUUAUGCAGGAUUAUCAUAGCAUUUGCUCACUGACAUUUACACUAAUAAUGUUUCCUCCUGUUUCAUAAUAAUUCAAAUAGCAAUUUUUAACUGGCUGUUUUUAAUAAGACUGACUUUCCCAGCCUUCCUUGCAGCUAGGUGUGACCAUGUAACUAUUCUGGUCAAUGAGAGGUUAGUAGAAAUGUUGUGUGGCAGCAUUUCUGAGACCUUUCUUAAAGGCCUGUGGCACACAAUGUUCACCCCUUCCUGCAUCCUGCUAUCUGGAACAAAGAUAUGAUGGCUGGAGCUCUGGCUGACAUUUGGAUCCUGAGAAAGAAGGCCAUGUGCUAGGGAAGAUGGAGCAGUGAGCUGCCGGGGCUCUUCUAUGAGAGACAAAUAAACUGUGUUCUUUAAGCCUCUUGAUCUUUAAAAUUCCCCUGCUGAGCUUACUCCAGACACAGUUCUCAAGCCAAUUUUUAUAAAUCUGAUAAAUAACUGUGAUUUUACUUAGAAGUAGACUAGUGUGCAGCAAUGAUCCACUGUUACUACUAAUCGACUGUUUGGUACUAAUCCAAAUGGGAACAGCGCUUAACAGUUUAAAAAUAAAUCUCUCAGGAGGGAGAAUGGGGAGCGACUGGUAACAGGUACGGGUUCUGUUGGGGGCAAUAAAAAUGUCCUAAUAUGAGAUAGUGGUGGAGGUCGGACAACUCUGUGAGUAUAUGGAAAACAAUAGCAGGGUGUACUUUUAGAGGGUGAAUUUUACGGUAUGUGAAUUGUAUCUCGAUGAACUGUUAAAAAACUGAUCACCUGUUCAUUGUUUACACCGUUGUGAGGCGGGUGCAGUGUUUUCCCCUGCACCACAGCACAGGAAACUGAGGCUCAGGGAGCUUACGCGGCCCUCCCAGUUCACUCACCUUGUGAGUGUCAGAGACGAGAGGGGAACUCGGGUCUCCUGACACCAGUGCCUGUGCUUCCUCCACUCUCUCCAGCGUGUUUGCACCUCCGCCUCGGGGCCGCAGGAACCUGGACUCAGGGACUAUUUAGACAACACUGAGUUGGAGGUAAAGCUUGUUUUCAGCUCUCCAUUUUAGCACCUUCUCCUCUGGCACCCUCUUCCUUCUAGUCACCCUCUCUUAUAUGCCGAGUACCCUGGUUGUUCAGGGUCCCCGCCCACUCUGGUUUACAAGUAUUCUUGCCAGGAAAUAUAAAAAGAUAUUUGACUGAUAUAAAUCAACAUAUAACACAAUCGCAAGUAGUUUUGCCCACGUUGCCAGCAACACUAACUCUCACGUGCCCUCCCCGACACUUAGGGUGGCUAGAGGUUUGGGACAUCUUCCUUUUGGCCUCCAUGAUCUGGAGGACUUCCAGUUGACAGCAACACACAUUUAUGGGAGGUCUGCUAUGAACCAGUGAUUUUGAUGGAUGCUUAGAUGCAUUCUUCCUUCAGCUUCCCAACGAUCCAGAGAAUCUGUGCUUUGAUGAGCCCAUGUUACAGAUAAGGAAACCACAGCUCAGAAAGCUUAGGUGACCUACCCAAGGUCCUGCAGAUGGUGAGUGACCAAGUCAGACUUCGCACCCGGGUCUCCUAGUUCUGAGCCCCGCAUUCUUUUCCUUAUUUUGUACACGCGUUUGUUCCUUAGUAUCCCCCAUGGGGUCCACCACAGGUCUGGAGCAGAGGAGGAGUUCCAGAGGGGAAUGAAAAAGAAAUAAAUGAAAGCCAACCUUUGCCAGCUUGCUCAAAGGCUUUUUUCCCUUAAGCAUGAUUUAUAAAUCAGCCCUCAACCCCAGCACAUGCAUGCACGAGAGCGAGACUCACUCUGGGGUUUUCAUUUCCGAAAGGAGAAGACUACCAACUGCUCUGGAUUGAUGACACCGUUUGGGCGUAAAAUGGGCAGAAGGAGGAUGGUAGGAAGAAAAGCAGGAGAGAUGUUGCUGCCUCUUCUCAGAGGUAACACGAGCUGCCUAAACCUCUGCUGAGGAGAUAGAAGGCAAGCAUCCUGGGAGAGGAACCCCUUGGGAGAGUUUGAAGGAGACUGAGUGUCAAGGAAACCCGCAAACUACAGCAGAAAGGCAAGGUUGGAAAAGGCACAGGCUGGAAAGAUGCAGAAAGUCUCUCGCAAAACUAACCUAUCAUUUAAUGCCAUUUAUAUAUCUUUCCUCUUUUCAGAAUGGAUUGUGGCUAGCUGGACACUGGGCCCUCCGCUGGCACUGUGGUCACUGCUGGCCCCAGUGCCACCAAUGCCACAGGACACUGGAUGCCAUAGCCACCAACUCCACCAGAAGGAGUUCCGAUUAUGUUGUUCAGUCUGGAUUUAGAAGUCUCAGCUAGGAAUAGUGGCAGAAGUAAUUGAGAAGCAAGAAGUAUGAGGAUGGACGGGGAGGGAGCAAACCACUUACCCGGUCAUGGACGAUUUGCCAGGAGCUGGGCCUUUAAUCAUCAGUUUUCUAUUAAUUCCUGGAACCAGACCCUCCCUGGCACAAUGGUGAGGGAGACAAGGUUGAUUUUAUGCUCAAAAAUAUUGGGACUGGAAGGGACCUUAGAAUCAUCUAGUCCAAUUGUUUUCAAGUGUUUUGAAAGCAGUGAAAUCCAUGCUUUAAAGGAAAUCUUCGCAAAAGCCCAAAUUCUAAAAGGAAAUCAAACAGGAGGCGCUCUGGUUAAAGUGAGGUUGGGGGCCCAGAGUAGUUUGAGAAUCACUGAGUCCAAACCCUGUGACACAGGUGAGGGAACUGAGGUGUAAACAUGACGCUGACUUGUCCAAGGUCACAUAGCUGUUUAGUGGCAGAGCCAGCUCCCCAGUCCAACCCAGCCCCAGUGCAGCAGCCUCUCUGGGAGAGCAGGCUCCUUGGUUCCUUCCAGCUCAGCACCCCCUGCUCUUGGGACUCCUCCUCCAGCCUCACGCAGGUAAAACAGAGUGAGGUGUUUCCCUCAAAAUCCUAGAAGACGUUGGAACACAAGCAGUACAUCUCUGAGAUGGCCCGCCCUCCCGCCCUCCCCAGAGUGAAACAGGGCAGGGAGAAAUAUCCCCUCCCACUGCAGGCAGCUAAGCCUCAUUGGCACCCUGUCAGCUCCGCUUCAGCAGGACGUGGUGGAAUUAGUAUAGGUGGGGUGGCCUGAGGAGGCAUAUCCAGUGGAAACAGCAGUGGUGUCUGUGUGGUCAGGGUCUCAACAGGAUGCAAAUGGCAUCUCAAACUGGGUAUCUGAGGAGAGUCUGAAGAAGGACCAUUUACAAAGGUGUGGGCAGUGUUAAGGGAAACCUACAAGGGGCGAUAAAGCAUCACAGGGCUAGCAACAGCCCUUACCUCUCCCAGAUCUGAGGGGACAAGAGAGGGAGUGGUUAGAAUAUGGGUCUCCUGGGAGGAGCUGCAGCCUUUCGUGGCAGAAUUGGCCAACUCACUGGAGGGAGGGAGGAGGGAAUAAAUACUCUGACCUCGCACUCCUCCAGCCUCUGCCUCCAGUUCCUUCCACCGGCUGGACCUGACCAGAAGCCAGGGCAAAGUAGCCUGGAUGAUGUAAUUCAUAAAGGUCAGCAUUGCAGGACACGGAGCGUGGCUAAGGAGGACAUCUGGAGGGGCAAGGAGAAUAUAUCCAAUUCAGUGUGAUCCAGUAGGAGAAGCAGUGUCCAGCAGACCUGGGCAAGAGCUGACUAUGCUUGUUUAUAAGCACACAUGAGCUACCCUGGGCACUCUCAGAAAUUCUAAUGGGGGCACAGGCACUUUGCAGGGGCAGAUGUAGGGAAGAACUUGAGAAAUAAGGUCAUGAAUGUGACCUCAUUUGUCCCUGGGAGGCCUGGGGAAACUCACAGACUCCAUUACUGAAGCCCAGCUGCUCUGAGGUUGGCGGUGGAGGGAGAAUGCCCUGGUUGCAAGGACAGGCGAGGUCCGGGAAGAUUCACGUUGCCCUUAGAGACCUCCUUACCUCCAGCACUCUUGCUACCAUGGCAACCUCAGGAGAGUGUGGUUUCCUCCUUGCCUUUCAUAUUUGCAACAGUGCAAUGCAAUUCUGAUACUAACUACCCAGAGUUAGCACAGACUCCACAGGUAAGGGCACAGUCUCCAACAAGACUGCCCUUGCUUCACACGCCCGGCACAAGUUCAGAGGUCUCCAGGCUACCCACACUUCUGACCAACUGGCUACAAACUCGGGUGUUCCCACAACCCCUCCCCACCAGGUUGAUAAUUCACUAGAAUGAUUCACAGAACUCUGGAAAGUGCUAUACUUACAAUUUCAGUUUUAUUAUAAAGGAUACAAACCAGGACCAAUCAGGACCAAUCAGGAAAAGUCUGGAAGGGUCCCAAACUUGGAACUUCUGUGUCCUCUCCACAUGGAACCCAGGGCGCACUCGACCCUCUCAGCGCAUCAAUGUGUUCACCUGCCAGGAAGUUCACCCAAGCCUCAGUGUCCAGAGUUUUUCUUGGGGUUUCAUUACAUAAGCAUGGUUAACUGAAUCCCUGGCCAUGUGAUUGAACUCAGUCUUUCUCAGUUGAACCCACCCCUCUGGACUGAUAUCACAUGGCUCAAAGCCCCAACUCUCUAAGCACAUGGUUGAUCUUUCUGACAUUGCCAGCCCCCAUCCUGAAUCUAUCUAGGACCCACCAGGAGUCACCUCAGUAGCAUAAACUCAAGUGUGUUCCUGGGGGCCCACUGUGAAUAACAAAUCCCAAGAGUUUAGAAGCUUCAUCCCAGGAAUCCAGGACAAAGACCAGAUAAAUUAUUAUACAACAAUAUCCCAUAGCAUGGCUGUCACAAGGCUGAAACAUUUAAGCUGGAUCUGACUAAAGGCUAACACUGUGAUGGCUAGAGUUUCCCUUGGAUCCCAACCUGCUGUGAUCUUAGUGACAGCCUAGUGUGCUGUGUGGAGGAUUCUGAAGCCACUUCCAGGAUUAAUUGGAAGGAGGGACAUGAUCAACUAGUCAUGACAGCCCUGGAAUAGAAGGGCAUUGGAAGGGGAGAGUGAGAGUGUGCAUGUGGGGUACUUGCUAACGCUGGGCUAAGGGAUUAAAAAAAAAAAAAGGAAAAAUCAUUUGCUGUUUGCUAACGAAGACUUGCUCAUUAGAACAUGUAAGACCCAUCCCACUUCAGCUCCUGUCCUAAUGCCAUGUAGUGGGUGCCAUGUUUAACCCUUACCACACAAGAGGUCAUGUCUUUUUAUUUCUUCUCAAAAUCUAGACUCAUGAAAGGGAGACUCAGAGAGAGAUGAGCGUGCCUUGGCUGCCCCCUGAAUUCUGGUUUUGAAACUAAGGAACCAUGUCUACCCCAUGACUGUCCUAGUGAAUACAGGCAUUUUUAGGGGAUAUCAUGUCAACUCACAUGUUGGGUUGAUAGUCAACUGAUAUGAACCAUUGGCUAUACCAAUUCUUAAAACAUGGAAACACUUCAUGCUGGUUGGUAAGUGAUGGCUGCUCCCCACUCCUGGAGAGGCCUUCUGCUAUUCUGGCUUUCCUGCCCCUCUCCUGGGACCAGGAGGGCUACAGACAGUGAUUUUCAGAGCUCAGUGCAAAACGAAAAUGCAGGACCGUUUGUUCAAAGUUUAUUAAGAAUUUCAAGAUGGCCACAGCAGAGCAUUCAGCCAAGCACAUCCCUUGACCCCACCAAUGCAGGAGGAGCACAGAGGGUGACCAAGAAAUAAAGCUAUUUUAAGACACUAACGUUGGAGGGUUGACUGUCACUGCAUCAUAACUUGGUGCAUUCUGACUAAUACGCACCAAUGCCCUACAAGUUCUUACGUAUUUUGACUGUCACCCUGCCCACGUGAUGGUCUCCUUGACACCCAAACAAGACAACCAGAGUUGUUUUCUUGGAGCCUGGCUUGACUAUUAUCAGAAACUCUCAGAAUUACACAAGGCACAACCAUAUUCCCAAACCCUAUUUUUAACAUACGAACUUUGCCAGUAUAAUGAAACCAACAUUCAGAUAAAAUAGUAAAAGUGUGUUUUUAUAAACUUGUUUUAAUACGUUACCACAAAAUAGAAGGACUUAUGUUUUCAUUGGAUACUUUUCUUAAGGGAGUGCCAAUUUCCUCUCACUGCUCCUGGAUCUGACUGAGGCAGCUCAAGAAGGAGGAAGUCGGGGAGAUCUGAUCGGUGGUUACCAGGGAAAAGGGGGGGUGGGGGGAGGGUACGGAGGGGGAAGUGGUGUACCCACAACAUGACUAACAAAAAUGUACAACUGAAAUCUCACAAGGUUGUAAUCUAUCAUAACAUUAAUAAAAAAUAAAAAAUAAAAAAAAAAAGAAGGAGGAAGUCGGGGGAAACAGUGGGUUUAACUUUUAUUGAUUUGUGUAGUUAAUCUCCUUCCUGACCGAUUGGGUGAGCAGAAGAAAAGAACAAAGAAAGGAGGAAUGCUGGCCUCCCAGCAAAGCUCCUCCACCCCCUUUCCAGCCCCUCCCUCUCCUGCUCUACCCCUCGGAGGAGGGGCGCUGAGGAGCGUUCCUCAGCAUCAGCGUCAGUGUUUGGAGGGACUAAAGCGUUCAGGAUUAAAAAAUAAACACAGCCGGAGGUUCAAGGCAGGAAAAAGGGGAAGGGAUGAACAAGCAGAACACAGGAAUUUAGGGCAGUGAAACUAUUCUGUACGGCACUCUAAUAGUGGAUACAUGUCUGUAUACGUUUGUCAAAACCUAUAGAAUGUACCACAAAGAGUGAUCCCUAAUGUAAACCAUGGGC
rnacentral:lncRNA from 1 species